rnacentral:rRNA from 1 species
AGUGAACGCUGGCGGCAGGCCUAACACAUGCAAGUCGAACGGCAGCACAGGAGAGCUUGCUCUCUGGGUGGAGAGCGGGGGUCGGGUGAGGAAUACAUAGGAAUCCACCUUUAAGCGGGGGUUAACGUAGGGAAACUUACGCUAAUACCGCAUACGUCCUACGGGUGAAAGUGGGGGAGCGCAAGGCCUCACGCGAAUAGGUAAGCCGCUGUCCGAUUAGCUAGUUGGCGGGGUGAUGGCCCACCAAGGCGACGAUCGGUAGCUGGUCUGAGAGGAUGAUCAGCCAGACUGGAGCUGAGACACGGUCCAGACUCCUACGAGAGGCAGCAGUGGGGAAUAUUGGACGAUGGGCGCAAGCCUGAUCCAGCCAUACCGCGUGGGUGACGAAGGCCUUCGGGUUGUAAAGCCCUUUUGUUGGGAAAGAAAUCCUGUCGAUUAAUACUCGGUGGGAAUGACGGUACCCAAAGAAUAAGCACCGGCUAACUUCGUG